GCCAGACUCCUACGGGAGGCAGCAGUGGGGAAUAUUGCACAAUGGGGGAAACCCUGAUGCAGCGACGCCGCGUGAGCGAUGAAGUAUUUCGGUAUGUAAAGCUCUAUCAGCAGGGAAGAAGAUGACGGUACCUGACUAAGAAGCCCCGGCUAACUACGUGCCAGCAGCCGCGGUAAUACGUAGGGGGCAAGCGUUAUCCGGAUUUACUGGGUGUAAAGGGAGCGUAGACGGCGAUGCAAGCCAGAUGUGAAAGCCCGGGGCCCAACCCCGGGACUGCUCUUGGAACUGCGUGGCUGGAGUGCAGGAGGGGCAGGCGGAAUUCCUGGUGUAGCGGUGAAAUGCGUAGAUAUCAGGAGGAACACCGGUGGCGAAGGCGGCCUGCUGGACUGCAACUGACGUUGAGGCCCGAAAGCGUGGGGAGCAAACAGGAUUAGAUACCCCAGUA
rnacentral:rRNA from 1 species